UUUAUAUUUUGGCUAAAAACUUAAAAGAUUUGGCGGUAGAUAUAUUUUUUAGAGGAACUUGUACUUUAAUCGAUAUUCCACGUUUAAUUUUACCUUAAUUUUUUUUUAUUAAUAUAUCGUUGUUUAGAAAUUUUUUAUUAAAUUAAUUUUCUUAUCUCUAAUAAAUUUAUUGAGUAAUAUCAAAUCAAGGUGUUAUUAUAUUAAGGGUUGUUAUGAGUUACGUUUAUUAUAUUAUAUGUGGAUUAAUUGUAGAAUUAUAAUUAUGAAAUUGGAUUUAAUUGUAAAUAUUUAUUAAAUUUGAUUUAUUGAAAUUAUUCUUAUCUGUGU
rnacentral:rRNA from 1 species